ensembl:lncRNA
CUGUGCAUGUGAUGUCCGGAGCCUGGAGCGUGGGUUAGAUUCUAUUCUGCCUGGAAAUUCUGCAAAACACAAGGAUGCCCUUGUUUACACGUUUGGCAAAUUUAGAAACAUUAAGGGGGAGCAAGCCCACCUUUCCGCCGUGCGCUCUUGGAGUGCAGUCGUUCACCCAGUAAAACGUGCAAACUGAGCUGAAGGCCAAGGGCAAGCCCCCGAGGAGCUUGGAGCAGCCCCCCAGGCCAGAAAGGAACCAGAGGAAAGCACCAGAGAAGGUGGGGUCACAGACGCCAAACCUAGAGACGGUGUUGCUGUUGUUUUUCCCAAACAGUGGAGAUGCUGUCACAAGGGACAGAACCCACAUCUCCUGUGUGUCCUGCAUCUGCAAGUGGAGUCUUUACCGCUAGGACCACCUGGGAACUCCACCGCAUCUCAGAGGAAGCUCACAGAUUCAAAGGAAUUUCAUGCAUUUCCUAGUGACGAUCACCCUGAUCCCGACUUCUCCCCUCUGCCCCUGCCCUCCUCCUGCCCCUGGGAAGGGGCCGUUCCCAGCCACACAGAUGUCUAAGCUUCACAGGUGAGGCCUCAGGGGCUUUGGACAUCCCGCUUUGAGUCCUCUUCUGUCCUUCAUGGUGAGUGUCAAGCUUCCUACCAAGUUACACUCUUCUUAAGGCCCCCUGGACCGCCACAGAGUUACACAGUCUACCCACCUCUCAGAUCUUUUUCACCAAACCUGUGCCCCUCCAACGAGUCUGAGGCAAACCCCUU